rnacentral:rRNA from 1 species
CAAUAGCGUAUAUUAAAGCUGUUGCGGUUAAAAAGCUCGUAGUUGGAUUUCUGUCAAGGACAACUGGUCCGCCCCUCGGGUGAGCACAUAGUUUGGUCUUGGCAUCUUGUUGGAAACUGUUGCUGCACUUGGUUGUGUGGCGCAGUGUCCAGCACCUUCACUUUGAGGAAAUUGGAGUGUUUCAAGCAGGCACAUGCCUUUGGACACAGUAGCAUGGAAUAAUUAGAUUGGGCUUUUGCUCCAACUUGUCGGUUUCUGGAGCUGAGGUGAGAAUUAAUGGGGAUUGUUGGGGGCAUCCGAAUUUAGCCGUCAGAGGUGAAAUUCUUGGAUCUGCUAAAGACGGACAACUGCGAAAGCGUUUGCCCAGGAUGUUUUCAUUGA